GCCGCGUUCGUCUAGUGGCCUAGGACGCCUCCCUCUCACGGAGGAAAUCAUGGGUUCAAAUCCCAUACGCGGUACCA
rnacentral:tRNA from 1 species